rnacentral:sRNA from 1 species
AAAUUGGUAUAAUGUUAGCAGGAUGUGUCACAAUGAACAUACAGCUUCUUCUGGCUGAUGGUUCUGAUUUUCGUUUUAUGGCCCAAAACAGCAAAUGUCGUGCAGUGAUUAUGUCUCCAUGGAAGCAAGGAUCAGCAUGGAAACUAAUGAAUCAAUUCUUCUCUGGCAAAUCAGACCAAGGCUUUGUUGACAUUCAUGUUGAGAACAUCCCGGAUCUGACGUCAGCUAUUCUGGUUGGUAGGACUGAGAAUGG